rnacentral:rRNA from 1 species
CAAGAGCGUAUAUUAAAGUUGUUGCAGUUAAAAAGCUCGUAGUUGGAUUUCUGGUACAAUGCGCCUGGCCCGCGGCAGUAAUGCCUGUGUGUGCCGGUGCGCGUUUGCCAUCCUUCUAGAAAACGUUUCUACCCUUUACUGGGCCGGACUCGCGAUCUAGAUCUUUUACUUUGAAAAAAUUAGAGUGUUCAAGGCAGGCUUUUGCUGUGAAUACAUUAGCAUGGAAUAAUAAUCUAGGACUUCGUUCUUAUUUUGUUUGGUUUUCUUAAAAAUAGAAGUAAUAGAUUGAUAGGGAGUAGUUGGGGGUUGGGCUAGUAUUGGUCC